AGGCUCUGCUCGUAAAUAAACUGAGCGAGCAGGCCAAAAAAUAUCAAGCCCAAUGCUGCAAUUUUCCUCCAUUCCACCUCAGGAGUAGUGAGAAUAGCAUUUCCUAUGGUGACAAGCAGCAAUGACAUGAGCACAAGUUUCUUCAAAAGCCUGCAUCCGAUUCUCCAGGUUCUCCAUGAUCUGCUACAUCAGAAAAACCAUUGUUGUUUGGAGUCAUGUGCUUUGGAAGGAAAAAGCUUCAGAUUAAGUUAUGAGCAUACCCUGGCACUGGCUUCGUCGAGUUCUUUCAGUGCAUUCUCGCCGAUUUUGUCCAACUCGGCAUUGGCAUCCUCUGCGAACUGAGUCAGAAAUGCAGAACGCUCAUCGAGGAAGUCGGUGAGGCGAACCUUUUGGGCUUGGAGCAUGGCAAUUCGUGCAAGCAAUUCCUGCUUUCGCUUGUCUCCUUCAGAUGGGGAAGAGGAGCCAGAUCCAGCUUCUUUGGAGCUGCAGAGACAGAGGAUCAAUCUCUGCCUGCUGGCUGUUUUUUUCCCAUGAGCAAAAGAUUGGUUUGGUAGAGGGAAGGAUGUUUGGAUGGCCUUAAGAGUGUUCAUAUCUUCUAUGUGCUGCAGAGGAGGAAAUUCUUUUGCUCUCUGUAUAAUUCUGUGGACACGACUGUGCUGCGGAGGAGGGAGAAGAGGUGGCGAGAGGAAGAUAUUUCACUCCAUAACAGUGGGGAUCUCGACCUCUCAUGUCUGGAUGUCAAACGUUAUCCGUUGCCUUUUAGUUUUAUUUAAAAAGAGUGGAGUGUAACUUCACGUUACCAUUUUGCCCCGUUGUUUAAAUAAAUCUUGGGCAUCGAAAAUGGGAAAAUAAUGUUUGCAUGUCAAAUCCUUGACUUUUUUUGGCCAUUGUUUUGUUUUGUCUACUGGAUGAUGUUCCCAUAGUAUUGUCCUCAUCCAUGGGCUCCUCAAAAACCACUUGAUGCGCUGGGAGGUCUUACUAUAGCGGAAUCUGCUCGCUAAAUGAAAUGAAUAUUCACUCAUUUUUGGACGCCCAACAUCCAAAUUUCGGUGUAAGCUUUGCACGGAGUUCUCCGCAUUUGCUAAGUUUUUUUUUUUUUGUUGUAAAAUUGAGUGAACCAGAAUGUUUGUAAUUUCCUGCACAUUAAGACCAUUCUGUUUCCUCGUCUA